CGACCUCAGAUCAGACGUGGCGACCCACUGAAUUUAAGCAUAUUAGUCAGCGGAGGAAAAGAAACUAACCAGGAUUCCCUCAGUAAUGGCGAGUGAACAUGGAAGAGCCCAGUGCCAAUCCCCGCCCCACGGUGGGGCACGGGAAAUGUGGUGCACGGAAGACCCACUGCCCAGCGCCACUCGUGGGGGGCCCAAGUCCUUCUGAUCGAGGCCCAGCCCCUGGACGGUGUGAGGCCGGUAGCAGCCCCCGGAGCGCUGGGCCCGGGUCUUCCCGGAGUCGGUUUGCUUGGGAAUGCAGCCCAUAGUGGGUGGUAAACUCCAUCUAAGGCUAAAUACCGGCACGAGACUGAUAGUCAACAAGUACCGUAAGGGACAGUUGAAAAGAACUUUGAAGAGAGAGAGUUCAAGGGUGCGUGAAACCGUUAAGAAGUAAACGGUUGGGGUCCACGCAGUCUGCCCGGAAGAUUCAAUCCGGUGGCGGGUCUGGCCGUGUUGGCGGCCUGGCAGAUCUUUCCCACCCCCCGUUCCUCCCGACCCCUCCACCAGCCCUCCCUCCCCCGCCGCCCCUCCUCCUUCUCCCCGGAUGGGGCGGGCUCUGGCGGGUGCGGGGGUGGGCGGGCGGGCCGGGGUUGGGGACCAUCCCCGACCGGCGACCGGCCGCCAUGUGCGGUGCACUGCGAACGGAUCCGGGACGGCUGGGAAGGCCCGGCGGGAAGGUGGCUCGGGGCCCGUCCCUCCCUGUCUUCCCCCCUGCCACGUCCCUCCCCUGGGACGGCGCAGGUCAGAGUGGCGGCGGCGGUGGUGGUGGGACCACCCCCGAGUGUUACAGCCCCCCAGCAGCAGCACUCGCCGAAUCCCUGGGCCCAGGGAGUGAGAAUCGUCGCAGCGCUCUCCCCCCUCCGGCGCCCACCCCUCCCACAGCGGGGCACGCCGGCGUUCCUCGUGGGGGCCGGCCACCCUCCACAGGGCGACCGCUCUCCCACCCCUCCCGCACCCCGGCGACAGGGGCCCGCGCAGGUGGGGGCGGGCGGACUGUCCCCAGUGCGUCCAGGGGGGGUCACACCGUCAGGUCCGGGGGGGUUCUCUCAGGGCCACGUGUGCGUCCCUUGAAGAUGGGGACGGCGGAGCGAGUGCACGGGAUCGGCGAUGUCGGCUACCCACCCGACCUGUCUUGAAACACGGACCAAGGAGUCUAACAUGUGCGCGAGUCAGGGGCUCGCACGAAAGCCACUGGGGCGCAAUCAAGGUGAAGGCAGGCGCACUCGCCGGCCGAGGUGGGAUCCCGAGGCCUCUCCAGUCCGCCGAGGGUGCACCACCAGCCUGUCUCGCCCGCCGUGCCGGGGAGGUGGAGCAUGAGCGCAGGUGUUAGGACCCGAAAGAUGGUGAACUAUGCCUGGGUAGGGCGAAGCCAGAGGAAACUCUGGUGGAGGUCCGUAGCAGUCCUGACAUGCAAAUCGGUUGUCCGACCUGGGUAUAGGGGUGAAAGACUAAUCGAACCAUCUACUAGCUGGUUCCCUCCGAAAUUUCCCUCAGGAUAGCUGGCGCUCUCGAAAACCCAACCUCUCCCAUGCAGUUUUAUCCAGUAAAGCGAAUGAUUAGAGGUCUUGGGGCGGAAACGAUCUCAAGCUAUUCUCAAACUUUAAAUGGGUAAGAAGCCCAGCUCGCUGGCGUGGAGCAGGGCGUGGAAUGCGAGUGCCUAGUGGGCCACUUUUGGUAAGCAGAACUGGCACUGUGGGAUGAACCCAACACCGGGUUAAGGCGCCUGAUGCCGAUGCUCAUCAGACCCUAGAAAAGGUGUUGGUUGAUAUAGACAGCAGGAUGGUGGCCAGGGAAGUCGGAAUCCGCUAAGGAGUGUGUAGCAACUCACCUGCCGAAUCAACUAGACCUGAAAAUAGAUGGCGCUGGAGCAUCGGGCCUAUACCCGGCUGGCCGUCGCCAGCAGUCGAGAGUGGACGGGAGCAGUGGGGGUCGGCACGCUGGGGGGUGUAGCGUGUGGGGGGGGUCUCCCAUCCUCCUCCCCCUACCCGUCCCCGGAGCCCCGGGCCUUCGCGAUGAGUAGGAGGGCCGCUGCCGUGAGCCUUGAAGACUAGGGCAUGGGCCUGGGAGGAACCGCCGCAGGUGCAGAUCUUGGUGGUGGUAGCAAAUAUUCAAACGAGAACUUUGUAGGCCGAAGUGGAGAAGGGUUCCAUGUGAACAGCAGUUGAACAUGGGUCAGUCGGUCCUGAGAGAUGGGUGAGCGCCAUUCCAAAGGGACGGGCGAUGGCCUCCAUUGCCCGCAGCCGAUCGAAAGGGAGUCGGGUUCAGAUCCCUGAAUCCAGAGUGGUGGAGAUGGGCGCCAUGAGGCAUCCAGUGCGGUAACGCGACCGGUCCCGGAGAAGCCGGCAGGAGCCCCGGGGAGAGUUCUCUUUCCUUUGUGAAGGACAGGGCGCCCUGGAAUGGGUUCGCCCGGAGAGAGGGGCCCCUGCCUUGGAAAGCAUCGUGGUUCCGGCAGCGUCUGGUG
rnacentral:rRNA from 1 species